AGAGUUUGAUCAUGGCUCAGGACGAACGCUGGCGGCGUGCCUAAUACAUGCAAGUAGAACGCUGAAGAAAGGAGCUUGCUUCUUUUGGAUGAGUUGCGAACGGGUGAGUAACGCGUAGGUAACCUGCCUUGUAGCGGGGGAUAACUAUUGGAAACGAUAGCUAAUACCGCAUAACAGCUUUUGACACAUGUUAGAAGCUUGAAAGAUGCAAUUGCAUCACUACGAGAUGGACCUGCGUUGUAUUAGCUAGUAGGUAGGGUAACGGCCUACCUAGGCGACGAUACAUAGCCGACCUGAGAGGGUGAUCGGCCACACUGGGACUGAGACACGGCCCAGACUCCUACGGGAGGCAGCAGUAGGGAAUCUUCGGCAAUGGGGGCAACCCUGACCGAGCAACGCCGCGUGAGUGAAGAAGGUUUUCGGAUCGUAAAGCUCUGUUGUAAGAGAAGAACGUGUGUGAGAGUGGAAAGUUCACACAGUGACGGUAACUUACCAGAAAGGGACGGCUAACUACGUGCCAGCAGCCGCGGUAAUACGUAGGUCUCGAGCGUUGUCCGGAUUUAUUGGGCGUAAAGCGAGCGCAGGCGGUUUAAUAAGUCUGAAGUUAAAGGCAGUGGCUUAACCAUUGUUCGCUUUGGAAACUGUUAAACUUGAGUGCAGAAGGGGAGAGUGGAAUUCCAUGUGUAGCGGUGAAAUGCGUAGAUAUAUGGAGGAACACCGGUGGCGAAAGCGGCUCUCUGGUCUGUAACUGACGCUGAGGCUCGAAAGCGUGGGGAGCAAACAGGAUUAGAUACCCUGGUAGUCCACGCCGUAAACGAUGAGUGCUAGGUGUUAGGCCCUUUCCGGGGCUUAGUGCCGCAGCUAACGCAUUAAGCACUCCGCCUGGGGAGUACGACCGCAAGGUUGAAACUCAAAUGAAUUGACGG
rnacentral:rRNA from 1 species